AGUCUCCCCCAGUAUCCUCCACAUCCGAACGUAUCCUGAUCCACUGCGCUCGACUGUUGGCUCCAGGCUCUAUUGUCUAAUUCUGCAUUGUUUCCUUCACCAGGUUAUUGUCGCAGUGUUGGCCUUCCUGGCGGUCGCCAGCGCCAAGCCUUUCCUCGGCGAGUUGGGAGCUGGUCUUGGCGAAGUAGGAGCUGGCCUCGGAGCCGGCCUUGGUAACAUCGGGGCUGGACUUGGUGCCGGGAUCGGAGCCGGACUUGAAGGUCUCGGAGCUGGUCUCGGGCUCCGUGGACAUGGCGGUCGGGGCGGCCUGGGUCUAGGAGGUUUACUAUAGAGAUCGCCAGACUUCCACAAAUAAAUAUUUUGACUGAA